GCUCCUUUCCUUCGGUCCGAAACCCCUGCGAGCGGGCUGGUGUGAGCGGACAGGUGGCGUCGCCCGCCUGCGUCCGCUCUACUCGCGAUGCACUGAGCGAUGGUCCAUGCGCAGAGUCUAUAUGCCAACUCCGACUUCGGCUCAACGCCCAUCUGCCGGAUGAUUCCCUACCAUUCGAAAAGUCGGGAGUUAAAACACAACACCCAGCACCUUUGUCCCCCUCCUCGUUUUCCCGGAGAGCCGGGAAGAAAUGGGGCGGGGGAGGGCUUCCAACUCGGCUUUUGAGUCUCCACCACCUUUAGAACCCACUCUCGAAUCAGCGUUUUGUUCUAGCCAGCCACGUGUUUGUCGGGUUUUUUGUUUUUGUGACAUUUUUCUUCCCAUGAAGCAACAGGAAUCUAAGUAUUACAAGCUAUUA
rnacentral:lncRNA from 1 species